rnacentral:rRNA from 1 species
GGCUUAGAGUUUGAUCAUGGCUCAGGAUGAACGCUGGCGGCGUGCCUAACACAUGCAAGUCGAGCGAAGCACUUUACUUUGAGAUCUUCGGAAGGAUAAGUUUAGUGACUGAGCGGCGGACGGGUGAGUAACGCGUGGGUAACCUGCCUCAUACAGGGGGAUAACAGUUAGAAAUGACUGCUAAUACCGCAUAAGACCACAGCACCGCAUGGUGCAGGGGUAAAAACUCCGGUGGUAUGAGAUGGACCCGCGUCUGAUUAGCUAGUUGGUAAGGUAACGGCUUACCAAGGCAACGAUCAGUAGCCGACCUGAGAGGGUGACCGGCCACAUUGGGACUGAGACACGGCCCAAACUCCUACGGGAGGCAGCAGUGGGGAAUAUUGCACAAUGGGGGAAACCCUGAUGCAGCGACGCCGCGUGAGCGAAGAAGUAUUUCGGUAUGUAAAGCUCUAUCAGCAGGGAAGAAACUGACGGUACCUGACUAAGAAGCACCGGCUAAAUACGUGCCAGCAGCCGCGGUAAUACGUAUGGUGCAAGCGUUAUCCGGAUUUACUGGGUGUAAAGGGAGCGUAGACGGAUAGGCAAGUCUGGAGUGAAAGCCCGGGGCUCAACCCCGGGACUGCUUUGGAAACUGUUUAUCUAGAGUGCUGGAGAGGUAAGU